rnacentral:rRNA from 1 species
CAGUAGCCGCGGUAAUACGAAGGGGGCUAGCGUUGCUCGGAAUGACUGGGCGUAAAGGGCGCGUAGGCGGAUUGUUUAGUUAGGCGUGAAAUUCCUGGGCUUAACCUGGGGACUGCGCUUAAUACAGGCAGUCUAGAGUGAGGAAGAGGGUUGUGGAAUUCCCAGUGUAGAGGUGAAAUUCGUAGAUAUUGGGAAGAACACCGGUGGCGAAGGCGGCAACCUGGUCCUUGACUGACGCUGAGGCGCGAAAGCGUGGGGAGCAAACAGGAUUAGAUACCCCGGUAGUCCAUGUCUCUUAUAC